UACGGAGGGAGCUAGCGUUGUUCGGAAUUACUGGGCGUAAAGCGCGCGUAGGCGGCUUUGUAAGUUAGAGGUGAAAGCCCAGGGCUUAACCCUGGAAUUGCCUUUAAGACUGCAUCGCUUGAAUUGUGGAGAGGUGAGUGGAAUUCCGAGUGUAGAGGUGAAAUUCGUAGAUAUUCGGAAGAACACCAGUGGCGAAGGCGACUCACUGGACACAUAUUGACGCUGAGGUGCGAAAGCGUGGGGAGCAAACAGG
rnacentral:rRNA from 1 species